UACGUAGGGUGCGAGCGUUAAUCGGAAUUACUGGGCGUAAAGCGUGCGCAGGCGGCUUGCCAAGUCAGAUGUGAAAGCCCCGGGCUCAACCCGGGAAUGGCGUUUGAAACUGGCAGGCUAGAGUUUGGCAGAGGGGGGUGGAAUUCCACGUGUAGCAGUGAAAUGCGUAGAGAUGUGGAGGAACACCAGUGGCGAAGGCGGCUUUCUGGUCUGUAACUGACGCUGAGGCGCGAAAGCGUGGGGAGCAAACAGG
rnacentral:rRNA from 1 species